rnacentral:rRNA from 1 species
GGUUAAGCGACUAAGCGUACACGGUGGAUGCCCUGGCAGUCAGAGGCGAUGAAGGACGUGCUAAUCUGCGAUAAGCGUCGGUAAGGUGAUAUGAACCGUUAUAACCGGCGAUUUCCGAAUGGGGAAACCCAGUGUGAUUCGUCACACUAUCAUUAACUGAAUCCAUAGGUUAAUGAGGCGAACCGGGGGAACUGAAACAUCUAAGUACCCCGAGGAAAAGAAAUCAACCGAGAUUCCCCCAGUAGCGGCGAGCGAACGGGGAGGAGCCCAGAGCCUGAAUCAGUGUGUGUGUUAGUGGAAGCGUCUGGAAAGGCGCGCGAUACAGGGUGACAGCCCCGUACACAAAAAUGCACAUGCUGUGAGCUCGAUGAGUAGGGCGGGACACGUGGUAUCCUGUCUGAAUAUGGGGGGACCAUCCUCCAAGGCUAAAUACUCCUGACUGACCGAUAGUGAACCAGUACCGUGAGGGAAAGGCGAAAAGAACCCCGGCGAGGGGAGUGAAAAAGAACCUGAAACCGUGUACGUACAAGCAGUGGGAGCACGCUUAGGCGUGUGACUGCGUACCUUUUGUAUAAUGGGUCAGCGACUUAUAUUCUGUAGCAAGGUUAACCGAAUAGGGGAGCCGAAGGGAAACCGAGUCUUAACUGGGCGUUAAGUUGCAGGGUAUAGACCCGAAACCCGGUGAUCUAGCCAUGGGCAGGUUGAAGGUUGGGUAACACUAACUGGAGGACCGAACCGACUAAUGUUGAAAAAUUAGCGGAUGACUUGUGGCUGGGGGUGAAAGGCCAAUCAAACCGGGAGAUAGCUGGUUCUCCCCGAAAGCUAUUUAGGUAGCGCCUCGUGAAUUCAUCUCCGGGGGUAGAGCACUGUUUCGGCAAGGGGGUCAUCCCGACUUACCAACCCGAUGCAAACUGCGAAUACCGGAGAAUGUUAUCACGGGAGACACACGGCGGGUGCUAACGUCCGUCGUGAAGAGGGAAACAACCCAGACCGCCAGCUAAGGUCCCAAAGUCAUGGUUAAGUGGGAAACGAUGUGGGAAGGCCCAGACAGCCAGGAUGUUGGCUUAGAAGCAGCCAUCAUUUAAAGAAAGCGUAAUAGCUCACUGGUCGAGUCGGCCUGCGCGGAAGAUGUAACGGGGCUAAACCAUGCACCGAAGCUGCGGCAGCGACGCUUAUGCGUUGUUGGG